rnacentral:rRNA from 1 species
UGGGGAAUAUUGGACAAUGGGGGGAACCCUGAUCCAGCAAUGCCGCGUGUGUGAAGAAGGCCUACGGGUUGUAAAGCACUUUAGGUAACGAGGAAAGUCCGCGUGUUAAUAGUACGCGGAAUUGACGUUAGUUGCAGAAUAAGCACCGGCUAACUCUGUGCCAGCAGCCACGGUAAUACAGAGGGUGCAAGCGUUAAUCGGAAUGACUGGGCGUAAAGAGUGCGUAGGUGGUUAGUUAAGUUAGAUGUGAAAUCCCCGGGCUUAACCUGGGAACUGCAUUUAAAACUGAUUGACUAGAGUGUGGGAGAGGUAAGUGGAAUUUCCGGUGUAGCGGUGAAAUGCGUAGAUAUCGGAAGGAACACCAGUGGCGAAGGCGGCUUACUGGCCUAACACUGACACUGAGGCACGAAAGCGUGGGGAGCAAACAGGAUUAGAUACCCCAGUAGUCCCUGAGCGGGCUGGCAAGGCGCAU